rnacentral:misc_RNA from 1 species
GAAAUGCGAUAAGUAAUGUGAAUUGCAGAAUUCAGUGAAUCAUCGAAUCUUUGAACGCACAUUGCGCCCGCCAGUAUUCUGGCGGGCAUGCCUGUUCGAGCGUCAUUUCAACCAUCAAGCCCCGCGCUUGUGUUGGGGACCUGCGGCUGCCGCAGGCCCUGAAAACCAGUGGCGGGCUCGCUGUCACACCGGGCGUAGUAGAUUUUAUCUCGCUCAGGGCGUGCUGCGGGUUCCGGCCGUUAAAAAGCCUUUUUUACCCAAGGUUGACCUCGGAUCAGGUAGGAAUACCCGCUGAACUUAAGC